GAUGAACGCUGGCGGCGUGCUUAACACAUGCAAGUCGAACGAGAAAUGGAGACGGAAACCUUCGGGCGGAAGGCUUCAUUUCGAGUGGCGGACGGGUGAGUAACGCGUGGGUAACCUGCCUCAUACAGGGGGAUAACAGUUGGAAACGACUGUUAAUCCCGCAUAAGACCACAGCACCGCAUGGUGCGGGGGUAAAAACUCCGUUGGUAUGAGAUGGACCCGCGUUCGAUUAGCCAGUUGGCGGGGUAACGGCCCACCAAAGCGACGAUCGAUAGCCGAUCUGAGAGGAGGACCGGCCACAUUGGGACUGAGACACGGCCCAAACUCCUACGGGAGGCAGCAGUAGGGAAUAUUGCACAAUGAGGGAAACCCUGAUGCAGCGACGCCGCGUGAGUGAAGAAGUACUUCGGUAUGUAAAGCUCUAUCAGCAGGGAAGAAAAUGACGGUACCUGAGUAAGAAGCCCCGGCUAACUACGUG
rnacentral:rRNA from 1 species